CAGAGAGAGUUUUCUAGAAAGAGUCGGCGCGCGGAGCUGGCGCGAGCAGCUGCGUUGGGGCGCGCGCUGCAGGUGUUGCUGUAGCCAGGGAAACGGGCCGAUCGAUCAGCUCAGAGAGAAGAGUCCGAGUUUAGCUCCAGUAAUGACCACCAUAGACUACAGCGUGUGGAGUCACAUCGAGGUGUCCGACGAUGAGGCCGACACGCACCCCAACAUCCACACCCCCAGCCUCUUCAGGUGGAGACACCAGAAACAUGCUCUGACUCAGCAGAUCUCUGUAUCUCUCUCACAUAAACAUGCUUUGAUGGAGCAGGUUGCCCACCAGACCAUUGUUAUACAGUUCAUCCUGGAGCUGGCCAAGAGCCUGAAGGUGGACCCCCGCGGCUGCUUCCGCCAUUUUUUUUGCCAAGAUUAAGCUGUCAGAAUUUGAUAGGUCAGUGGUUACAGAAAAACACAGGACUUCCCCAAAACCAUCAACUAAUUUAGAAUGAGAGAAGUUUUGGAAUGAGCGAGCCUCGCUCCCCUGUGCUGAGGGCCCCCCCCGUGCUGAGGGCCUCCCCCAUGCUGAAGGGCCCCCCUGUGCUGAGGCCCCC